rnacentral:rRNA from 1 species
UACGUAGGUGGCAAGCGUUAUCCGGAUUUAUUGGGUGUAAAGGGCGUGUAGGCGGGAGCGCAAGUCAGAUGUGAAAACCAUGGGCUCAACCUGUGGCCUGCAUUUGAAACUGUUUUUCCUGAGUACUGGAGAGGCAGACGGAAUUCCUAGUGUAGCGGUGAAAUGCGUAGAUAUUAGGAGGAACACCAGUGGCGAAGGCGGUCUUCUGGACAGCAACUGACGCUGAGGCGCGAAAGCGUGGGGAGCAAACAGG